UGGGGAAUUUUGGACAAUGGGCGCAAGCCUGAUCCAGCCAUGCCGCGUGCGGGAAGAAGGCCUUCGGGUUGUAAACCGCUUUUGUCAGGGAAGAAAUCUUCUGAGUUAAUACCUCGGGAGGAUGACGGUACCUGAAGAAUAAGCACCGGCUAACUACGUGCCAGCAGCCGCGGUAAUACGUAGGGUGCAAGCGUUAAUCGGAAUUACUGGGCGUAAAGCGUGCGCAGGCGGUUUUGUAAGACAGAGGUGAAAUCCCCGGGCUCAACCUGGGAACUGCCUUUGUGACUGCAAGGCUUGAGUGCGGCAGAGGGGGGAUGGAAUUCCGCGUGUAGCAGUGAAAUGUGUAGAUAUGCGGAGGAACACCGAUGGCGAAGGCAAUCCCUGGGCCUGCACUGACGCUCAUGCACGAAAGCGUGGGGAGCAAACAGGAUUAGAUACCCUGGUAGUCCACGCCCUAAACGAUGUCAACUGGUUGUUGGGAAGGUUCCUUCUCAGUAACGUAGCUAACGCGUGAAGUUGACCGCCUGGGGGAGUACGGCCGCAAGGUUGAAACUCAAAUGAAUUGACGGGGUCAUAGCUGUUU
rnacentral:rRNA from 1 species